UACGAAGGGGGGCUAGCGUUGCUCGGAAUCACUGGGCGUAAAGCGCACGUAGGCGGGUUGUUAAGUCAGGGGUGAAAUCCUGGAGCUCAACUCCAGAACUGCCCUUGAUACUGAGGAUCUCGAGUUCGGGAGAGGUGAGUGGAACUGCGAGUGUAGUGGUGAAAUGCGUAGAUAUCGGGAGGAACACCAGUGGCGAAGGCGACUACCUGGCCUGUUCUUGACGCUGAGGCGCGAAAGCUAGGGGAGCAAACGGGG
rnacentral:rRNA from 1 species